GUCAGGAUAAAAGUGAAAGAGCUUUGACUGGGAUCUACCCUCUGAGUGAGUCAGUCUGGGGUGCAGUGUGCCUUUCACUGGAAGAGAGGGGGUCAAAUAAAGAGACACUCCUACGUUAACACCCUUUUCACACGGGUCUCAGGAUCUUGUUCUCAUGCCACUUCUUCUGAUAUCUUUUCACAUUAUUUACACCAAUUACACAUCUCAUUUUGUUUUAUUAAAAGUU